rnacentral:rRNA from 1 species
UUUCCCUCAGGAUAGCUGGCACUCGCUUGAGCGAGUCUCAUCUGGUAAAGCGAAUGAUUAGAGGCCUUGGGGCCGAAACGACCUCAACCUAUUCUCAAACUUUAAAUGGGUGAGAUCUCUGGCUUGCUUGAACGUUGAAGCCACGAGAUUUUAACAAGUUGGAUCAGAGUGCCAAGUGGGCCAAUUUUGGUAAGCAGAACUGGCGCUGUGGGA